rnacentral:misc_RNA from 1 species
AACCUGAAAAUGAGAAUUUUGGCAUGCUAAGGGAGAUCAAAUGGGUCAUAUUAGCUCAAAUAUUCAAGGAAGGAGAUCACCCUCGGCAACACUAGUAUAUUUGCUUCAUAAGUGCCAAGAAAAACCAAGGAAAUAUUAAUAAUGCAUCAAAUUUGCAAAUGGGCAGUAAACCUCACGGCUUGGCUGGGAGAAUAGGGUGAGGCACACAGCCUGGCCGUGCGCCUUGAUGAGUGGAGCAUCGUAGAGUUGACCGCACAGCCAGGGUGGGAGAUCAAGCCUAGGCGCACGGCCUGGCCGUGGGAUGCACUGAUUGGCGAAAAUCUUUAGUUUGCUUGUAAUUUUCUUUAUACAUUUAGGGUUUAAUGUUUUUCUAAGGUAGGCCUUAGGCAGCCACCUAUAAAUACUUAACAUUUUCUGUAUUUUGGAUAGUUUUUGACAUUAAUUUGAACUUGAGAAAUUGAUUCUCCUUUUAUCGUUCUUCAUUGAACUUCUCUUUCUUGAGAAGUCUGACUAGCUUGCAAAAAUUAACACCGAUAUUCUUGGUUCUCUACCACAAGUUGGUAUUGGGUCUUGAAUCCUUUUAUUUCCUAAUUGAAUAUUUACUUUGUUCUCUACCACAAUGCUAGUUUUGGGUUAAGUAAUUUCAUUUAGAAGAAUCUGAUUGUGAUGGUCUUUGGGAUUGAUUCAAAUAUCUUGGGGGUUCCUUAGCAAGUCCAUUGGAUUUCUCAUCAUGUAGUCAAAUGGAAGGUUCAAAUCUACAAAGCUAAAAGCCACCAAGUCUAAGAGUCAGUCAGGAGAUUUAUAGCAAGGAA